UACGUAGGGGGCUAGCGUUGUUCGGAAUUACUGGGCGUAAAGGGCGCGUAGGCGGCCCGUUAAGUCGAACGUGAAAUCCCCAGGCUCAACCUGGGAACUGCGUCCGAUACUGGCGGGCUUGAAUCCGGGAGAGGGAUGCGGAAUUCCAGGUGUAGCGGUGAAAUGCGUAGAUAUCUGGAGGAACACCGGUGGCGAAGGCGGCAUCCUGGACCGGCAUUGACGCUGAGGCGCGAAAGCCAGGGGAGCAAACGGG
rnacentral:rRNA from 1 species